UGCACAGUGGCGCAGUUGGUAGCACUGUUGCCCUUCCAGCAAGGAGGUCCUGGGUUCGAUUCCCAGCUGGUCUUUCUGCAU